AACGUAGGGGGCCAGCGUUGCUCGGAAUUACUGGGCGUAAAGGGUCCGUAGGCGGUGCGGCAAGUCGGAAGUGAAAUCCCAGGGCUUAACUCCGGGACUGCUCCCGAAACUGCCGUGCUCGAGUGCGGGAGAGGCGAGUGGAAUUGCCGGUGUAGCGGUGAAAUGCGUAGAUAUCGGCAGGAACACCAGAGGCGAAGGCGGCUCGCUGGACCGCAACUGACGCUGAGGGACGAAAGCUAGGGGAGCAAAC
rnacentral:rRNA from 1 species